AUGAACGCUAGCUACAGGCUUAACACAUGCAAGUCGAGGGGCAGCAUCAUCAAAGCUUGCUUUGACGGAUGGCGACCGGCGCACGGGUGAGUAACACGUAUCCAACCUGCCGACAACACUGGGAUAGCCUUUCGAAAGAAAGAUUAAUACCGGAUGGCAUAAUUAUUCCGCAUGGGAUAAUUAUUAAAGAAUUUCGGUUGUCGAUGGGGAUGCGUUCCAUUAGGCAGUUGGCGGGGUAACGGCCCACCAAACCAACGAUGGAUAGGGGUUCUGAGAGGAAGGUCCCCCACAUUGGAACUGAGACACGGUCCAAACUCCUACGGGAGGCAGCAGUGAGGAAUAUUGGUCAAUGGACGAGAGUCUGAACCAGCCAAGUAGCGUGAAGGAUGACUGCCCUAUGGGUUGUAAACUUCUUUUAUACGGGAAUAAAGUGAGCCACGUGUGGCUUUUUGUAUGUACCGUAUGAAUAAGGAUCGGCUAACUCCGUGCCAGCAGCCGCGGUAAUACGGAGGAUUCGAGCGUUAUCCGGAUUUAUUGGGUUUAAAGGGAGCGUAGGCGGGUUGUUAAGUCAGUUGUGAAAGUUUGCGGCUCAACCGUAAAAUUGCAGUUGAUACUGGCGACCUUGAGUGCAACAGAGGUAGGCGGAAUUCGUGGUGUAGCGGUGAAAUGCUUAGAUAUCACGAAGAACUCCGAUUGCGAAGGCAGCUUACUGGAUUGUAACUGACGCUGAUGCUCGAAAGUGUGGGUAUCAAACAGGAUUAGAUACCCUGGUAGUCCACACAGUAAACGAUGAAUACUCGCUGUUGGCGAUAUACAGUCAGCGGCCAAGCGAAAGCAUUAAGUAUUCCACCUGGGGAGUACGCCGGCAACGGUGAAACUCAAAGGAAUUGACGGGGGCCCGCACAAGCAGUGGAGUAUGUGGUUUAAUUCGAAGCAACGCGAAGAACCUUACCAGGGCUUGACAUAUAGAUGAAUAACUAAGAGAUUAGUUAGUCCUUCGGGACAUCUAUACAGGUGGUGCAUGGUUGUCGUCAGCUCGUGCCGUGAGGUGUCGGCUUAAGUGCCAUAACGAGCGCAACCCUUACGGGUAGUUACCAUCAGGUUAUGCUGGGGACUCUACCCGGACUGCCGUCGUAAGAUGUGAGGAAGGUGGGGAUGACGUCAAAUCAGCACGGCCCUUACGUCCGGGGCUACACACGUGUUACAAUGGGGGGUACAGAAGGCAGCUACACGGCGACGUGGUGCUAAUCCCAAAAGCCUCUCUCAGUUCGGAUUGGAGUCUGCAACCCGACUCCAUGAAGCUGGAUUCGCUAGUAAUCGCGCAUCAGCCACGGCGCGGUGAAUACGUUCCCGGGCCUUGUACACACCGCCCGUCAAGCCAUGAAAGCCGGGGGUACCUGAAGUACGUAACCGCGAGGAGCGUCCUAGGGUAAAACUGGUGAUUGGGGCU
rnacentral:rRNA from 1 species